CAGAGACUCUGGCUUCGUGCGUUGCCUCUGAACUGCUGCACGGUGAGCUGCACGAGGCAGAUUUCGAGUUGCAUCAUGCGGUUGUGGAUGGGAGGUCGGAGAGGGGCCACCGGUGUUGUUGCGCGGGGAGGUGCGCCGACGCUCUGUAUUCGAGCCUAUCAUCUAAAGCACAGGUAUACUCUACCUUUUAUUCCAGGAAGUAAAUCUGACAAUACUUGGAGCUCUCUUAAGAUGGCGUUUGGAGUAAAUCUGGCAAUACUUGGAGCUCUCUUAAUAUGGAUCCGUUGGUGUCAACGUGUCAGCAUCAUAUACAUCAGGGAAGUGCACUCGAUACAUCCGGGCAGUUCACUUAUUGCAAAUUUAGAUCAGUGUAGGUCUUCUUGGGGCUGACCGAGCACCUGGCCGCCGCAUUGGGGU